rnacentral:rRNA from 1 species
AUUGAACGCUGGCGGCACGCCUAACACAUGCAAGUCGAGCGGUAACAUGGUGUGUAGCAAUACACACUGAUGACGAGCGGCGGACGGGUGAGGAACACGUAGGAACCUGCCCAAAAGAGGGGGAUAACCAAGGGAAACUUUGGCUAAUACCGCGUAAUCUCGAGAGAGAAAAGCUGCCGCAAGGGGGCGCUUUUGGAGGGGCCUGCGUCCGAUUAGCUAGUUGGUGAGGUAAUAGCUCACCAAGGCGAUGAUCGGUAACUGGUCUGAGAGGACGACCAGUCACACUGGGACUGAGACACGGCCCAGACUCCUACGGGAGGCAGCAGUGGGGAAUAUUGGACAAUGGGGGCAACCCUGAUCCAGCGAUGCCGCGUGAGUGAAGAAGGCCUUCGGGUCGUAAAGCUCUUUAGGUUGGGAAGAAGGUUGUGGGAGGAAAUGCCUGCAGCUUGACGGUACCGACAGAAUAAGCACCGGCAAACUCUGUGCCAGCAGCCGCCGUAA